rnacentral:tRNA from 1 species
GCUGUUGUAGCUCAGGUGGUAGAGCGCAUCCUUGGUAAGGAUGAGGUUCGGCAGUUCGAGUCUGCUCAACAGCUCCA